rnacentral:rRNA from 1 species
AGUGAACGCUGGCGGUAGGCCUAACACAUGCAAGUCGAACGGCAGCACAGUAAGAGCUUGCUCUUACGGGUGGCGAGUGGCGGACGGGUGAGGAAUAUAUCGGAAUCUACUUUUUCGUGGGGGAUAACGUAGGGAAACUUACGCUAAUACCGCAUACGACCUACGGGUGAAAGUAGGGGAUCUUCGGACCUUGCGCGAUUGAAUGAGCCGAUGUCGGAUUAGCUAGUUGGCGGGGUAAAGGCCCACCAAGGCGACGAUCCGUAGCUGGUCUGAGAGGAUGAUCAGCCACACUGGAACUGAGACACGGUCCAGACUCCUACGGGAGGCAGCAGUGGGGAAUAUUGGACAAUGGGCGCAAGCCUGAUCCAGCCAUACCGCGUGGGUGAAGAAGGCCUUCGGGUUGUAAAGCCCUUUUGUUGGGAAAGAAAAGCAGCAGGUUAAUACCCCGCUGUUCUGACGGUACCCAAAGAAUAAGCACCGGCUAACUUCGUG